GGUCCUUAAAUGUUGAAAGGGCUAUUAUUUUACUUGGAAAAUCACAUUUUCCUGUUUUGCUUUAACGAAGUUUAAAAUUCCAUGUAGGAAAUCUAUGAGUUUCUGUUACAGAUAUUUUGGGUAUCUGGGUUCUGUUACUCCAUUUUAAACAGUUACCUCUCUAUGAAUUAGUAGGGUCUGGAGAGCCUUGAACUGGUCCUGAAGAACAAGGAGCCACUUUGCAGCAUAGAGCAUCUACAGAGGUUCCAAGGAGUCCAAAACCAUGCAUCCCUGGAAAGCAAUGAGGUGUCAGAAGAGAAAACAUUGGCCACUUUAGCUAAGACCAGUGUUUGUGCAGUCUUUGGAACUGGGAGCUCUUUCUACUCAGUUGUGGACCUGCAGAGGAGCAGGGCUGUAAACUCCUGCCUUCCUCUGAAGCCUUUGAAAAGGGGGUGUAUACUGGAGUAAAGACAAGGAAGGGGAAGACAUGGAAGAGACAUCACACUGAUGUGUGAUUGAAAACUCGUGAAUUACAGAGUUCAGUUUCUCCUUGAAAGUCAUUGCUGAAUGGUGAGAUUCAGCUCCUUUCAAGAUUGUUUUGAGUGCAGCUGGGACUACAUCUUAAUAAAUAAUAUAACCUAAGUAUGAUUGAGCAUUUUAUUUUUCCAUAGCCUCUAAAGGUGUUUGUUGACUG
rnacentral:lncRNA from 1 species